UAGGGAAUCUUUGGCAAUGGACGGAAGUCUGACCGAGCAACGCCGCGUGAGUGAAGAAGGUUUUCGGAUCGUAAAGCUCUGUUGUAAGAGAAGAACGAGUGUGAGAGUGGAAAGUUCACACUGUGACGGUAUCUUACCAGAAAGGGACGGCUAACUACGUGCCAGCAGCCGCGGUAAUACGUAGGUCCCGAGCGUUGUCCGGAUUUAUUGGGCGUAAAGCGAGCGCAGGCGGUUAGAUAAGCCUGAAGUUAAAGGCUGUGGCUUAACCAUAGUAGGCUUUGGAAACUGUUUAACUUGAGUGCAAGAGGGGAGAGUGGAAUUCCAUGUGUAGCGGUGAAAUGCGUAGAUAUAUGGAGGAACACCGGUGGCGAAAGCGGCUCUCUGGCUUGUAACUGACGCUGAGGCUCGAAAGCGUGGGGAGCAAACAGGAUUAGAUACCCUGGUAGUCCACGCUGUAAACGAUGAGUGCUAGGUGUUAGACCCUUUCCGGGGUUUAGUGCCGUAGCUAACGCAUUAAGCACUCCGCCUGGGGAGUACGACCGCAAGGUUG
rnacentral:rRNA from 1 species